UACAAAAGCUUGUAGGAACUUGCGCCGCGUCCUUUUGCCCCAGCGUGAUGACGCAACCAGGAAGCAUGCUACACCAUACGAUGUUUGACAACACAUUGACGGCACCAUUCGCUGGACAUGCCAGUACACAGGAUCGUAGCAAUUCAUAAUAAAAACGGCAUUAACAAAUUA